rnacentral:rRNA from 1 species
AUUGAACGCUGGCGGCAGGCCUAACACAUGCAAGUCGAGCGAGCGGCGGACGGGUGAGUAAUGUAUGGGGACUGCCCGAUAGAGGGGGCUAACUACUGGAAACGGUGGCUAAUACCGCAUACUAUCGGAUAACCCAUAUGGGAUUAGCUAGUAGGUGGGGUAAAGGCUCACCUAGGCUACGAUCUCUAGCUGGUCUGAGAGGAUGACCAGCCACACUGGGAAUGAGACACGGCCCAGACGCGUACGGAGGCAGCAGUGGGGAAUAUUGGACAAUGGGCGAAAGCCUGAUGCAGCCAUGCGGCGUGUAUGAAGAAGGCCUUCGGUUUGUAAAGUACUUUCAGCGGGGAGGCGGUACCCGCAGAAGAAGCACCGGCUAACUCCGUGCCAGCAGCCGCGGGAAUUC